UGUUUUUUAUUUCUUUUUUCUUUUUUUGGUUUCGAUCUGGUUCUGAAAGUUUCUGUUGCAGGGGCUUUAUUUUUGUGUGAUUUGCUCUUUUUUUUUUUGACUUUUGGGUUGUGUUAUGCUAAUAAGCGUUCUUUGCUCACAACAUGUUUGAUGAAACGCCACAUAGAGAGCAUGUUGUCUUGACCCUAAAUUAUUACAAUUGGGAGAAAGUUCUAUCAGUGCUAUAUCAAGAAGGUUAUUUUGUGCUUCCUAUGAGUCUACUCACACCUUUCUAAACAUGGCAUAUCAACUCUCAUUCAUGGGAACUGCUUGCUCUUCUCUAUUCUCUACUCUCUUUAUGGGGUAGUAAAAGAAAAGGCUUACCAAAAUGCUAGUUUCACUAGAUGAGGCUAACCAAGAAACAAGGAUGGUUAAAUGAUCACUCAUGCAUCGAAUAUAAAAAUAGCAUUCAACAUAAAGAGGUCACCGUGGAUAAAUUAAAAUUUUGAAGGAACUGCAUUACUAUUGAUAUGGAACAACAAGAUUGAGAAAGAAGCCAUAAAUCUCUAGCCUAAUCAUCUCAACAAGAUAUAAGUGAGAUUGGAGAUAUGAGAAAUAAGGUUAUUGCACUCGGGGAGAAACUUCAACAUGAUAGGGAGAAAUGUGAAAAAAAUGCCAAAGUACAUGAUCCCAAAGUUUCGAGAAUUCAAGUGCACAAUAUUCACACCUACAAGUAAUGAAGCUGAUACUUUAGAUGGAUUACUCAGGCAUAGUGACAACACGAUCUAUGGCGUUAGUAAAGACAUUUAUUACUUCUUUUUAUCUAAAAGCCUUUAUGCUUUAGAAUUGAUAAAUUGGUAUUAUUUCGAUUGGCUCUUGUUAUGAUAUUAAUGCUUGAAUGUAUUCUGAUUUUGGAAAAGCAAGAGAUAGAUUUAUGAAUGA